AUAAGGGUGAGUAACACGUGAGUAACCUGCCCUAACUCUGGGAUAAGCCUGGGAAACUGGGUCUAAUACCGGAUAUGACUCCUCAUCGCAUGGUGGGGGGUGGAAAGCUUUAUUGUGGUUUUGGAUGGACUCGCGGCCUAUCAGCUUGUUGGUGAGGUAAUGGCUCACCAAGGCGACGACGGGUAGCCGGCCUGAGAGGGUGACCGGCCACACUGGGACUGAGACACGGCCCAGACUCCUACGGGAGGCAGCAGUGGGGAAUAUUGCACAAUGGGCGCAAGCCUGAUGCAGCGACGCCGCGUGAGGGAUGACGGCUUUUUGGGUUGUAAACCUCUUUCAGUAGGGAAGAAGCGAAAGUGACGGUACCUGCAGAAGAAGCGCCGGCUAACUACGUGCCAGCAGCCGCGGUAAUACGUAGGGCGCAAGCGUUAUCCGGAAUUAUUGGGCGUAAAGAGCUCGUAGGCGGUUUGUCGCGUCUGCCGUGAAAGUCCGGGGCUCAACUCCGGAUCUGCGGUGGGUACGGGCAGACUAGAGUGAUGUAGGGGGAGACUGGAAUUCCUGGUGUAGCG
rnacentral:rRNA from 1 species